rnacentral:rRNA from 1 species
UACGGAGGGGGCAAGCGUUAAUCGGAAUUACUGGGCGUAAAGCGUGCGUAGGCGGCUGUUUAAGUCGGGGGUGAAACCCCGGGGCUCAACCUCGGAACUGCAUUCGAGACUGGAAAGCUAGAGUUCGGGAGAGGUGAGGGGAAUUCCCAGUGUAGAGGUGAAAUUCGUAGAUAUUCGGAAGAACACCAGUGGCGAAGGCGGCUAACUGGCGCGUUUCUGACGCUGAGGUGCGAAGGCGUGGGGAGCAAACAGG